rnacentral:rRNA from 1 species
GACGAACGCUGGCGGCGUGCUUAACACAUGCAAGUCGAACGAUGAAGCCCUUCGGGGUGGAUUAGUGGCGAACGGGUGAGUAACACGUGGGCAAUCUGCCCUCCACUCUGGGACAAGCCCUGGAAACGGGGUCUAAUACCGGAUAUCACUUCUGCCCGCAUGGGCGGGGGUUGAAAGCUCCGGCGGUGGAGGAUGAGCCCGCGGCCUAUCAGCUUGUUGGUGAGGUAAUGGCUCACCAAGGCGACGACGGGUAGCCGGCCUGAGAGGGCGACCGGCCACACUGGGACUGAGACACGGCCCAGACUCCUACGGGAGGCAGCAGUGGGGAAUAUUGCACAAUGGGCGCAAGCCUGAUGCAGCGACGCCGCGUGAGGGAUGACGGCCUUCGGGUUGUAAACCUCUUUCAGCAGGGAAGAAGCGAAAGUGACGGUACCUGCA